rnacentral:rRNA from 1 species
AAAUUGAAGAGUUUGAUCAUGGCUCAGAUUGAACGCUGGCGGCAGGCCUAACACAUGCAAGUCGAACGGUAACAGAAAGCAGCUUGCUGCUUUGCUGACGAGUGGCGGACGGGUGAGUAAUGUCUGGGAAACUGCCUGAUGGAGGGGGAUAACUACUGGAAACGGUAGCUAAUACCGCAUAACGUCGCAAGACCAAAGAGGGGGACCUUCGGGCCUCUUGCCAUCGGAUGUGCCCAGAUGGGAUUAGCUUGUUGGUGGGGUAACGGCUCACCAAGGCGACGAUCCCUAGCUGGUCUGAGAGGAUGACCAGCCACACUGGAACUGAGACACGGUCCAGACUCCUACGGGAGGCAGCAGUGGGGAAUAUUGCACAAUGGGCGCAAGCCUGAUGCAGCCAUGCCGCGUGUAUGAAGAAGGCCUUC